GAUGUGCGAAAAAUAAAGCAGAUUCGGAAUCAGUGUCUUGAAAUACACCAGAAUACAUUAAAAAAAUUGAAAUUUGAAAACUAGUUGUGACGUCACAACAUUGACCAAUGGCGAGCUUUCAAAGUUUUCACCGGAAGUCAUCGAUUUUCUCAAACUUAAAGUAACUACCUAAGGGCUAGCUGCGUAUCAAAUUUCAAAACAAUCGGUUCAGUGGUUCUUGAGAAGAAGAUGUUUAAACGAUUUCAUAUAAAAUCAAGUUUGGUUGCCCAACCAUGUGCUCCGUAGUGCACAACUUCAGAUAUUGGGGAAUAUUAAUGCAAAAUUUCAAGCCAAUUGGUCUAGCGAUCUGGGCUGUAUGCCUCUCACAAAAUCGGUGGAAUAAGAAUAAUAAUAAUAAUGCGAAUAAUUUCAAUAGGUGUCCCGCAGCUAGAAGAGUUGUAUUAUUACAAGUUGCGAUACUAGUUAUAAUGCUAAAUAGGCAUGUUGUAAAUUUAAAAGCGAAAUUUACAACAUUGAAAGAAGUGGUAGUGUAUUAUACCAGAGGAUAAGAGUUAGAGUGUGAGCGCAACCAGCUGUCUACAAAAUGGAAAUGCAAACACUUUAAACACUAAUCCAUUGAACACUUGUGCUUCAUCGAUAUUUACACAUAGGACUUCCAAAUAUUUGAAAUUUUCCUUGCUAAUAUGCACUUAUACAUGUAUUAAACCUGUAAAGUUUCCGUGCACACUGGCUGUGUGUGUGUAGUGUUUGUGUGGAUGUAUUGUAGGCCCUAGACACUUUCUAUUGUACAUUACUGUAGUUCACUAUUGUGGUAGAUUUGUGAAAGUGAAAGAAUAGUAAUACAUAGAUAUCUACAUUGAACAGUACAUUCAUAUAGGCCUUGUUAUGUGAGUGUAAGCUAUUAAACAUAACUGAACUUUGUUAUAACAUGAGGGGACUUCUGCAAAGAAACCUUGCUUUCAUUAGGAUUGCAGUCAUAAUAUCUGUUUUGAACUGAUAUUUUUGAUCUAGAGGAAGUACCUGCUAUUUGCUAUGCUGGCCAAGAUGGCUUAUGGUGUAGCAUGGCCUAAGCAAUGACAUGGCCUACAGCAUAGCUGCCAGCUUUUGGGUGCACUGAGGCAUGAUCAUCAGAGCUUUUAUACCUUCAUGUGGUAGUUCUGUAUUAGUUUUACAUGUGUAUACACAUAUGCUAUUUAUUAUUGCAAAUGCCAAGCACAUCAGGAAUCUUAUGCCUUUGGGUUAUCUCCCUUAGUCUGUUUUUAUGUACAGUUGAGAAACUUUUGCUAUCACAUGUGUAAGGCAACAAAGUUUGGAAUGAUUUAGAUCUGAUAGAAAGGGAUAGAAAAUAAUUUGAACACAUAUUUAUAUACUGCUUUUGGAACUAGGGACAAAGAAAAUAGAGCAAUAGAACAAUAGCGUGAAUUAUGAUGGAUCAUAUCGAACAACAGGUUUGGGAAUACGAGUAGAUCUUCUCGUUGGCACUGCUGAUUCUGUGGGAUCUUUGCCCCCCCCCCCCCCCCCCUCCUUUUCUUUGCAGUGGCGCAGGCGUAAUGCUACUCCCUCUCGGCUGUUUUAUCGAUUUUGGUAGAGCCUCGAGAUGGUAGAAGUCGAAGUCUUCUUCAUUUUCCGUGUCAGUUCUUUGUGGCUUUGGCGCACAUUCUGGACUGGAACAAGCGUUUUGUGGGGUGGUGCAUCUGUGAUGGUCUGUUUUGAUGUAAGCUGGUUUCAAAUUACUGAAGUUUGCAACUGUACGAAGAUUGCCCUCAUUUCAUACGUGACUGUUACAAGCACUUUGAUGACGUCAUACUGUCCUAACCAUCUGUCAGCAAAGUUCUUGCUCUCGCCUUCCCUGAACACAUGACGGGCAAGAUAUAAUGUUUUACAAACUUGGUAAGAUUCUCCUCGAAUCCUUUUGUCGCCAAGAUUUUUCUGUUUUGCAGAAUGUCUUGAUUACGGCGAACUUCCUCGAAGACUGUGAACAGACGUGCAUGGAGAUAAGCAGCGUACUCGUCUAUUGGGUGACAAUGGAUGAUGACGCGAUGAACAUAAGGCCCAUGGGUGACCUAGAGAUCCUACCAUACACUGGGAAAGCUGGAGGAUACUUUAUCAGGGCGUGUUGCGAAGUAUUGUAGGCCGUUGUAACAGACGUAAACCUUGCUUUCAACAAACAAGCCUACCAACAGAGCACGUAUGUCCGUCCCGGCGGUACCACCCUAAGGGCAGGCCUAGCUGUGGACGGUAACCCUGAUCCUAACACAGACCAUGUUUCCUGCUCCCACACCCACAUGGGCUACCUGCCAUGGUGGAUGGUAGAUCUGGGUGAAGAACUACUCGUCAUGGCUGUGAAGGUCACCAACAGAGAUACCAGCUUUGAAAGACUAAGAGAUUUUAAAAUAGAG